ACGAGUGGCGGACGGGUGAGUAACGCGUGGGAAUCUGCCUAGUAGUGGGGGACAACCCGAGGAAACUCGGGCUAAUACCGCAUACGCCCUACGGGGGAAAAGGGGCCUCUCCUUGGAAGCUCUUGCUAUUAGAUGAGCCCGCGUUGGAUUAGCUUGUUGGUGGGGUAAUGGCCUACCAAGGCAACGAUCCAUAGCUGGUCUGAGAGGACGAUCAGCCACACUGGGACUGAGACACGGCCCAG
rnacentral:rRNA from 1 species